CCUACGGGGGGCAGCAGUGAGGAAUAUUGGUCAAUGGGCGGGAGCCUGAACCAGCCAUGCCGCGUGAAGGCGAGUGCCCUACGGGCGUUAAACUUCUUUUGUGCGGGAGCAAUAAGGGCCACGUGUGGCCCGAUGAGAGUACCGCACGAAUAAGCAUCGGCUAACUCCGUGCCAGCAGCCGCGGUAAUACGGGGGAUGCGAGCGUUAUCCGGAUUUAUUGGGUUUAAAGGGUGCGUAGGCGGCGCUUCAGGUCAGCGGUGAAAUACCGGGGCUCAACCCCGGGGCUGCCGUUGAAACCGGAGCGC
rnacentral:rRNA from 1 species